UGAAAUCAGAUGAGGCAAGAUACCCGCUGAG
rnacentral:rRNA from 1 species